GCCGGGCGUGGUGGUGCACACCUGUAAUCCCAGCUGCGUGGGAGGCUGAGGCAGGAGGAUCGUGCCUCAGCAACUUAGUGAGAACCUGUCUCAA
rnacentral:sRNA from 1 species